AAAAAACCUCGUUAGGUGAGGCUCCUGUACGGAGACAUGCUACUGCCCAGAAACGUCCAAAGACGCCAACGGGUUUGAACAGAAACCAUCGAAUUAAGGUGGUUUAUAACGUAGCUAGAAACCCACGUUUCUUAUGCCGUACAGUGCUAAAGCUCAAUGAAUUGGGGUAGACC
rfam:Acinetobacter rudis CIP 110305 genomic scaffold acVBL-supercont1.6, whole genome shotgun sequence.